AAAACGACGGCCAGUGAAUUGUAAUACGACUCACUAUAGGGCGAAUUGAAUUUAGCGGCCGCGAAUUCGCCCUUGCCGCCCGCCGCGCGCGGCGGGCGGGGCGGGGGCACGGGGGGACGGGGAGCAGCAGGCGCGAAAACUUUACAAUGCGGGCAACCGUGAUAAGGGAACCUCGAGUGCCUGUAUAUGCAGGCUGUCCAGGUGUCUAAAACACACCUGAAGAAAGGGCCGGGCAAGACCGGUGCCAGCCGCCGCGGUAAUACCGGCGGCUCGAGUGGUGGCCGCUUUUAUUGGGCUUAAAGCGUUCGUAGCUGGGUUGUUAAGUCUCUUGGGAAAUCCGGCGGCUCAACCGUCGGGCGUCUAAGAGAUACUGGCGAUCUUGGAACCGGGAGAGGUGAGGGGUACUUCGGGGGUAGGAGUGAAAUCCUGUAAUCCUCGAGGGACCACCUGUGGCGAAGGCGUCUUACCAGAACGGGUUCGACGGUGAGGGACGAAAGCUGGGGGCACGAACCGGAUUAGAUACCCGGGUAGUCCCAGCCGUAAACGAUGCUCGCUAGGUGUCAGGCAUGGCGCGACCGUGUCUGGUGCCGCAGGGAAGCCGUGAAGCGAGC
rnacentral:rRNA from 1 species